CCCGGUGAAACGGCGUUCAGAGGCUGCCCGGCUCGGCCCCGCGGGUCGGCGGGGGAGGCUGCGGCGGGUCAGGCCGCCUGGGCACGCUGGCAGCCUGGGCAGCGCCCUCUGGCCGUGCCCAGUCCGGUGGUCCCCUCGCUGCCGCAGCCCGUGCUUGUGGCGGGGGUACCCCGCUCCCUGCACAGGUGGCCCAGGGCCUGGCCAGGGCAGCGCUGCGGGUCUGUCGUUGCCUUGUAGGCAUGUGACCACAACUGUGUGCACACCCAUAUGUAACAAUUAUAUAAUUAGCUAUCAGUGCGUGUAAAACAGAUGCGAAAUUACUGGGUAUAAUUUGCAUAUAUGUUACAUAAAUAUGUAUAUAUAUAGCUACACGUGUUGCUAGCUGUAUAAUUACAAUUAACUAAAUAUACAUGUGUAAAUAGCUUCCACAUGAACUUGUAUUUCAUUUUUGAGUGGUACUGUUGCCUUUACGGAGCAGUAAAGCAGCAAGCCUGAUGGAGUUCAUGCAGAGUUUGGGCAAAGCACUCAGGCACAGGGUGAGGAUUUUGGGUGUUCCUGCGUGGAGCCAGGAGUUGAACUCAAUAAUGUUUCUGGGUCCCUUUCAACUCAGGACAUUUUUUGGUUCUGUGCGAGCACUGAUUCUCUGCUCACCUUGUGCUUCUCGCUGCGAGCUGUGGGGCUGGUUUCAGCAGACAGAGAACUGGAUAGCCCAGAAGUAACUGGGAUAUAAUGCGUUCCUGUGUGGAACCAGGAGCUGGACUCAGUCGUCCUUAUGGGUCCUUUCCAACUUGGGGUAUUCUGUGAUUCUGUGACAUUUCACAAGCGCCAGAGGGGAGUGACUCUUGAGGUGGCUGGGCACAGUCAGAUGCUGACAGAUCAGUAAGCCCUAAAAAAAGUCCACAGAACAGGGAAACAUCACAGAUAGUCCAUGGAGGAAAAGACCUUUCAGUUAGAACAUCCAAACAAUGAUGAGAGACAAACCUAUAUGAGCCAGCAAUGUGCCCUUGCAGCCCAGAAAUCUAACUAUAUCCUGGGCUGCAUCAAAAGAAGUGCAGCCGGCAGGGCGAGGGAGGUGCUACUGCACCUCUGCUCUGUGCUGGUGAGACCUCACCUGGAGUCUGCAUCCAGAUGCGGAGUCCUCGAUACAGGAGGGCAAUGGACCUGUUGAUGCACGUCCAGAGGAGGGCCACAAAAAUGAUCCAUGGAAUGGAACACCUCUCCCAUGAGGACAGGCUGAGAGAGCUGGGGCCAUUUAGCCUGAAGAAGGAAAGGCUCUGGGGAGACCUGAGAGCGGGCUUUCAGUUUCUGAAGGGGGAAUAUAAGAAGAAGGGGGAUGGGGUCUUCAGCAAGGUCUGUUGUGAUAGGACAAGGGGAGAUAGUUUCAAACUAAAAGAGAGGUGAUUUAGAUUGGACAUAAGUUUUUCACAAUAAGGGUGGUGAGGCACUGGAAUGCGUUGCCCGGGGCGGUGGUGGAUGUGGAUGCCCUGUUGUUGGAGACAUCCAAGGUCAGGCUGUAUGGGACUCUGAUCUAGCUGUAGGUUUCCCUGUUCAUUGCAAGGGAGUCAAACUAGGUAACCUUUAAGGAUCCUUUCCAACUCAGAAGAUUCUGUGAUUCUAUAGACAAUUAAGCUUCCAAUUAAUUUUCAUAUUCAUUGAAAUACUAGUUUUUUUGUUUUUUGUUUUAAUCUCAAAGUUAUUUUCCUUGCCAUGGAGGAAAAUUGCGAUCUGUUCUCUGCUCUGUGUUGGGAGUUGGUUAGAACAGGUGGUGUGCAGAGCUACAGACUGAUGAAUGGAAGGGUGUUGGGGAAGACCUAGCCCAACCAUCUGUCUGUCAGCUGAAAUGCAAGGAGUUAUGCAGAUCCAUUAACCCAGCACUGGAGUGUAAGGAACAGGGACAGAGAGUACUGCCUGGUAUCCUCUUCAGAGGAAAGGAAGAAGUAUGUUUUAUUUGGUGCUUACCAACUGAUUGAUGCUGAAAUUGGAAAUUAUGUAUCUACUUUGCAAAUGGCUGAUGCUAUUAUAAUUCUCAGUUGCAAUUUAUUUGAUAGUGCUCAAGUGUUUCUGCUUCGCUGUUUCCAGUUUUAGAAUGAGCUAAAAGACAAGUUACAGGUUACUAUUUUCAGUGGUAAAAUCUUCCUUAAAAUAAUUUUUUUAAAAGGAAGACAGCGUUUACACUGAGAUAUUUUUAGCCAUUUCUGUGAAGUGAACAAAUAGCAAACAUGUUUCUCAGUUUAAAAAUGUUUUAAAAUAGAUUACAGGGAAAACUGGGAAAAAUUAAAUUAUGAGGAAUGGAAUUUGAAUUUUGAAACCUGGCAUGCGUUGCUAUUAGUUAUGAUACAUUCAAAGAAAUGAAACUAAUAGCUGUUUUGAGUGCAUGAGCAGUAAGAACUUUGCAAAUACACCUUUCUUUUAGCAGGAGGGAUGUAUUAGCAAGUGGUUAAUGUGGCUCUUGUCAUCUUCCCUUUAGUCUUUUGUUUCUUUCUAGGAUUUUUCUCCCCCAGAUUAUUAUCUGUUUCAAGGGUGGAAUUUCUAAAUCAGACCUUCACAUUUCUUGCCUGUGGGACUUUGUCUCUCACAGCGUGCUGUGGUUUGCGGCCCCUGAAGGCCUGAACCAGGUAGCUGAGGUACCCUGUAGAAGGCUUGGAUUAGGCAAGAACUAACCACCACCACAUGCUAAUGGUGGUGGGCUGACGGUUGGACUAGAUGACCUUAGUGGUCUUUUCCAACCUUAAUGAUUCUGUUAUUCUUGUUAAAACUUUCAUGCUCUUUUAUGGAUAGAGUCAGACCUUCUGUAUGGGAAAGUGCCUGAAUAUGCUAUUUUACAAAACAGAAAUCGAGCUGAGCUUUUAGUAAGAUACGGGAUGUGUUGAAUGUCAUGGGAUUGAGUGCAUAGUCUGUGUUUGUAAGGUUGUUGUCCUCUUAUUUGAUCUGUAUUUACUAAUUAUUUAGUAAACUGCCUAGCAUUUUAAUCAGACAUUAGGGUUGUUCCAAACAUUUUUUCCCCAUGCUAUUUAAAUCACGACACUGUUUCAAGGGAACUGAACACAUGGAUUGUUUAUCAAGGAAAAUAAACUGAGCAAAUGCCAUUUAUUUCUUGUGAAACAUGGUGAAAAACUGUGACCUUUUCUUUUUAAAUGCUUUAAGAAUAACCAUUAGAGGAAUUUUAUUUUUACAGGGCAUUCAAGCCACUAUAGCUUGUAAAAUUGCUGUAGUUUAAUAUUAGGUUCUGUUACAUUGCAGUAAGGAAGAACCCAAAUCUCAGUGAAGAACCAGAAUAAUCCAUCUAAUUCUCAAAUGGGUGUAGUCAUUUGGAGCAUACUUACAGUGCACAGAUGCACAAGUAGAACAUUAAAGAGAGAUUUCUUAGAUUAAGUUUAAACAGAAAUUGAAAAAAGUGUUGAAAAGACCCCCAGAUAGUAUCGUUUUAGUAUGUGGAUGAUUCUAGGAGAAUUCGUGUACUGCCCUAAUAUUGCUGCAGUAUCAGUUUCCAUUAACGGAUAUGGGAAAAGAACUCCUUGUUUGAUUUGUAGGGAAAAGGGGAGAUGUAUUGUUCUGUCACGAGUUGUGUUCAUGGCAAAUCCAAACUGACUUGUUUGAGUUUACAGAAUAGGGAAACUACUCUUUGAAUAUUCUUGGAAGAGUUCUUUAGUGAAUAAGAACGGGUAGAAAUACUCCACAGGUAUAUGCAAAUUUGUAUAAAAGUAGAACAACAUAAAAAUUGUGUUUUUCCUAUCGUUGCUGUUGGAUUUAUGCUUUUCUUCUUGAAACCCACUGGGAGAUAUUAAAGAGAGUUGCAAAGAAAGCAGGCUUUCUUGUUCAGGAAUUAUGGUUGUUCAGGUAGAUUCAAAUUAAGUAUAUCAAUUAUUAAUAUAUGCUCCUUCCUAUUUUCUAAAUAUUUAAUAUUUUAAUUAAAAUAAUUGGUACUCAUUUACAGGAGGUGGCUGAUAUAAUUAGAUUGAUAGUGAUUAUUACCUUGGAAUGCUAUUGAAUUAAUGCUGACAGAUAUGGUAAGUGAAUUAGUUCAACAGUCUUCUAAAUCGUAUGGUAGCUGAUGAGAAUGCUUACAUAAGAAUAGGUAGUAUUAAGGUAAUAUUGAUUACUUCAUUCCAGGUUACAAAUGAUAUAAUGUAGAAUAUUCAGCAAAGUAAUUUAAGUAUUCAUUUGUUUUACAUCAUUUUAGUAAUUCCUCUUUUAAUUCUGAAAUAGUUAAUCUCAUACUUACCUUGUUUAAAAGGUCUGACCUUGUAGACUGGAAGGUCUGGACUGUCUUGAGAUGAGCAGAAUCAUUCUGCAGAAUUACAUGACAUUUUCUCACAUCAGAGAGAUAGAAUAAAUUGCCUUUGAAAUGCUUUGGCCUCUCUUCACUCAGAAAGCCUUUUUAUAAACUUUCAAAUUAGCUGAGACUGAUUGGGGAGCUGGCAUCUGCUGUUGUACACUCAGAAGAAAGGUGACUAUUUUUCAUUCCUGUUAACAUGACUAGGCAUUAUAUUGGCAAAAUUAAGAUGGAGCUGUAUCUCUCUGUCUGGGGAACCGGUCACUUAGCCUCUCAAGAAUGGCCAAUUUUUCUAGUCAACAUGAUAUCAGAAAUGAUAAAAGUAAUUGUCAUCAUCAAAUUUGUUUGCAGUUUUGCCUGGCACUUACAGUGUUUGGUUUGCCGGAAUGAUUUGUGGCAUGGUCCCAUAAUAUCUGCCAGGACACAGCUGUCAUGAUGCAUCUGUUUCUGAUGGUGACUGGGUAUAAUGAAUGUUUUUGCUUCUUAAUUCUUCUGGCUAGCAUGAUCUUCCUUCCCCUUCUUGAUUUAUUUUUAAGCUUCUGGCAUUCAAAAGUACACUGAGAAGCUGAAAAGAGAACUUGAAGAGCAAAUGUUCAAACAAAUUGACUGGGUGGACGAGGAAGCUGUCGCCAGUGCUGGAAUCAGACCAGGACAGGAGUGGAACAUGUGGGUUGCCUUUUCAGCAAGCACAUAGGUUGUAACUAUGCAGCGCUGAUAUGGCAACAAAUUAAUGAGGACAAACAAAACUCAAGAAGAAAGACUGUAUUUGGAAUCCAACUCACAGAGGAAAAGCUUAAUGACUUCCGUGAUGAACAGAUUGGGCAGCUGAAG